rnacentral:piRNA from 1 species
UUCUCCAAGAUUAACAGAACAUUUAGCCC